AAGCUCCAUAUGAUCAUGUAACCCCAAGCUUUUUGCCAAAACAAUGAAUCUUCUUCGGACGGACGCAUUCAGGGACAUUGUGUGAUCUCUGUAAGAUUAUGAUGGAUUCCUGUGAAGGCAUCAGUGUGCUUCCCACUGCCAAAGUGAAUCAUUCCCAUGCUUCUGUUCCUCAGAAUCUCUACCAUGGCACCACGGGAAUCCCGUGUGUUCCUGCCCAUCAGUGACCCUUCCCUGUCCUAGCUCUGGCUCUGCAUGGUGCUCUUUCUAUAAGAUGAAACUGGCAAUAUGAAAAAAAGACAGAAAUCGACAAGGAAUCUGAGGACAGAGGAUGAAAUGACAGCAUCAGAUUCCUGGAGCCUGCAAAACGAAAACAUGGCACCACAUUUACCCGGGAGGAGGACAGACACACACUAACAAUGGAGUAAUGUGAGGACAGAGCUUGCUGACAUCAAAAACACCGAAUCUGUCCUAAGUCAAAAAUUUUUUUUUUUAACCUCUAAAGGAGGAGACAUGGAUUAGGCUAGAAGAAGUGCCUCCUAGAAGUUAAGCAACUUCUAGGUCAAGAGUAAAGAGUAGUUACAACUCAAUCGAUCCGUCCUAACCUGUACCCUUUCAACCACUCCAAAACAGUGACUCUUGGUGGAGAUUAAAACUAAAGGAUCAUGUAUUAUGAUAAAUAUACACUUUAUGAACAAUGAAAUGUGUUAUGGAUGGCCCUGGUGCUGUUCUUGUGAACCAAUCCCCUAAUGAAUAAAGGAGCCAAUCACUGGGCAAGUAGGUAGGACUUCCGGGUUGGAAGGAAGAAGAGAGGAAGCAGGAAGAGUUAGAUCUCUUUGGAACCAGAACAGCAGAGGGAUAAGAUGUAGCUGCUAGAGUUUCCUGGUAUCACGGUGAUCUGCAAGGAUUCAGCAUCAGAGGGAUCAGAUUUCAAUAAAGCUUACAAGAUUAGGUUUUUGUUGUUGUGCCCAGAGAUUGAGUUACCAUUGCUUCUGAACUAAGUUUGCCUCGUGUUUUCCUUCACACGGGCUCUUCUGGGUUCAAGAGAGAAAGGUAUGGCAGCCAAGUGUAGGUUUACCUGAGGUGCUCCACAAAGG